GUCCUCUUCCUCGCCUUCUCCAUUAUCGAUAUCGCCAUGACCUUGGCUUCACUAUCGGCCUCUUCACUGUCCUCCAACACGCACGUAUCCCGAUAACACUGUUUUCAACCUUAUCGCCACGCACCAUCGCUGGGACGACCUCCACCACUUCGACUGUAACCUUGUGAAAGGCAAGAUCUCAUACUCGAGUCAGCGGGCGUUGACAAGCCUCUCAGCUGUGCGCGAAUCCAGUUGCCCAAUCUUUGUAAUAGAGAUUUUGGUGCUUUGCAAUCACAAAGUUGUAGAGUCCAAGAGAGACCACCCAAGUAGAGUAUCUGGUGAAGAGAUGAGUUCAGCUCUGGCAACAGAGGAUAUUAAAUGGAUAUGAAUUUAGGUAAAUAUGGCAAUGAAUACAAGGGAGAAGCUUUGAAAGGGCCAAGAGACUUUAUUUUAUUGUAGAGCUUUUUUUGUGUGUGGGGCUUUCAAUGGAGGAACCCUUGAGGAAUCAAUUUCAGCCUAGAAAAUUAGGUGGAGUUCAAAGGUACUGCAUGAUCCUAUAUACCUUACAGACUUUGUCACUUCAAGUAAGAGCUCUAUGAUAAUCUGGGUUACUGUAAGGACUGUCAACUCUAAGAACAAAUAGUUCUUUAUGUGGUAUCUAGAUACAAAACAUAAGCUACCUUGAUAGAGAAUUGAUGAAGCCGAGUACAGUUCGGUGAAGAUACAAUUUGCAUUGCUCUAGGUUUAAUAGUAUAUGGUGGUAACCGGUGAAUCCUAGGAUGAGUGUAGAGUAAUAAUAUAUGGUGUUUGUUUGUGACUCUUUUUGGCUGUCUUCUAAUCCACUCGUAUAAAAAGGGUGAUGAUUGGUUUUUGUAUUUUUGGAAUGCUUCUUGGAUCAGCAACUCUUGAACAGAAUUUUCUCAAGGGAAUGAAAGAUCCAAAGCUUGAUGGAAAUCUAAAGACACAAAGAGAAGAAGGGUCAUUAAUCAGGUAAAGCGAAGUAAAAAUGAUUCAUGAAGAAGCAUGGGUUGGCGGAAGCUCUGAAAAAGGUCAUUACAGAAACCAUUCCAUUCUUCCCUCAAAGAAAAGUGACUGAAGUUUAGAUGAUAGAGGCAAGUAUGUAUGAUCUGUUGUUAUCUAGGAUUACAUAAGAUUAGAACUCAUAACUAGGAAUUAGUUAAUGGAUUGUUCUUGUAGAAGUAUAUUGUAACGAGUAAUAGAUGACAUUUGUCUUGGUGUUGUAAAGAUGAUUUGGAUGUAAAUGUCUUUUUUCAUUAUAAGGACUAUUUUUUAUA